UACGUAGGGGGCAAGCGUUGUCCGGAUUCAUUGGGCGUAAAGAGCGUGUAGGCGGCCAGGUAGGUCGGUUGUGAAAACUGGAGGCUCAACCUUCAGAGGUCGACCGAAACCAUCUGGCUAGAGUCCGGGAGAGGAGAGUGGAAUUCCGUGGUGUAGCGGUGAAAUGCGCAGAUAUCAGGAAGAACACCCGUGGCGAAAGCGGCUCUCUGGAACGGUACUGACGCUGAGGAGCGAAAGCGUGGGGAGCAAACAGG
rnacentral:rRNA from 1 species